AUCCAGCUGACUAGUCUCAAAUAGGGCGAAACGCACGUCCUGGAU
rfam:Schistosoma mansoni strain Puerto Rico chromosome 3, complete genome